rnacentral:ncRNA from 1 species
CUUAUUAAGAAAGGUGUAGGGACCAGGCCCGACAACACCUUGGCAACCGUCAUCCUCUAUUGGUUGGAAAGGUGCCAAUUCCUGUUUCAUCUCUGGUUUUGAGAU